rnacentral:rRNA from 1 species
AACGAACGCUGGCGGCAUGCCUAACACAUGCAAGUCGAACGAGACCUUCGGGUCUAGCGGCGCACGGGUGCGUAACGCGUGGGAACCUGCCCUUAGGUUCGGAAUAACUCCCCGAAAGGGGUGCUAAUACCGGAUAAUGUCUUCGGACCAAAGAUUUAUCGCCUUUGGAUGGGCCCGCGUUGGAUUAGCUAGUUGGUAGGGUAAAAGCCUACCGAGGCGACGAUCCAUGGCUGGUCUGAGAGGAUGAUCAGCCACACUGGGACUGAGACACGGCCCAGACUCCUACGGGAGGCAGCAGUGGGGAAUAUUGGACAAUGGGCGAAAGCCUGAUCCAGCAAUGCCGCGUGAGUGAUGAAGGCCUUAGGGUUGUAAAGCUCUUUUACCCGGGAUGAUAAUGACAGUACCGGGAGAAUAAGCGCCGGCUAACUCCGUG